rnacentral:rRNA from 1 species
UACGAAGGGGGCUAGCGUUGCUCGGAAUCACUGGGCGUAAAGCGCACGUAGGCGGUUUCUUAAGUCAGGGGUGAAAUCCUGGAGCUCAACUCCAGAACUGCCUUUGAUACUGGCAACCUUGAGUCCGGGAGAGGUGAGUGGAACUGCGAGUGUAGAGGUGAAAUUCGUAGAUAUUCGCAAGAACACCAGUGGCGAAGGCGGCUCACUGGCCCAUUACUGACGCUGAGGCACGAAAGCGUGGGGAGCAAACAGG